rnacentral:rRNA from 1 species
GACGAACGCUGGCGGCGUGCUUAACACAUGCAAGUCGAACGAUGAACCACUUCGGUGGGGAUUAGUGGCGAACGGGUGAGUAACACGUGGGCAAUCUGCCCUUCACUCUGGGACAAGCCCUGGAAACGGGGUCUAAUACCGGAUAACACUGCCACGGGCAUCUGUGGUGGUUAAAAGCUCCGGCGGUGAAGGAUGAGCCCGCGGCCUAUCAGCUUGUUGGUGAGGUAAUGGCUCACCAAGGCGACGACGGGUAGCCGGCCUGAGAGGGCGAUCAGCCGGAUUGGGACUGAGAUAC